rnacentral:rRNA from 1 species
UGGGGAAUUUUGGACAAUGGGCGAAAGCCUGAUCCAGCAAUGCCGCGUGUGUGAAGAAGGCCUUCGGGUUGUAAAGCACUUUUGUCCGGAAAGAAAUCCUUGGCUCUAAUACAGUCGGGGGAUGACGGUACCGGAAGAAUAAGCACCGGCUAACUACGUGCCAGCAGCCGCGGUAAUACGUAGGGUGCAAGCGUUAAUCGGAAUUACUGGGCGUAAAGCGUGCGCAGGCGGUUUGCUAAGACCGAUGUGAAAUCCCCGGGCUCAACCUGGGAACUGCAUUGGUGACUGGCAGGCUAGAGUAUGGCAGAGGGGGGUAGAAUUCCACGUGUAGCAGUGAAAUGCGUAGAGAUGUGGAGGAAUACCGAUGGCGAAGGCAGCCCCCUGGGCCAAAUACUGACGCUCAUGCACGAAAGCGUGGGGAGCAAACAGGAUUAGAUACCCUGGUAGUCCACGCCCUAAACGAUGUCAACUAGUUGUUGGGGAUUCAUUUCCUAGUAACGUAGCUAACGCGUGAAGUUGACCGCCUGGGGAGUACGGUCGCAAGAUUAAAACUCAAAGGAAUUGACGGGGUC